rnacentral:lncRNA from 1 species
AAAAAAACAACACCCAAGCGACCAAUACUGACGCACUGAGAGUUUAUUGGAAAGUUUCAUAACUGCCUGUGCCCUGCCAUGUUACAACACCGCACUCAUGCGCUCUCGCUGCCUCACUCAGACAGACAUACGCACAGUACCACGGCACCAAGAGCAGUCACACACAGAACAGCUGCAGGAUGGAAACUGGAAGUGUGGUUUUGCCCUUCUGAGGAGCUUUAGGGACUUGUUCAGCCAAGGGAAUGCCGGCUUCUACUCAGGACUGACAACAGGGGCUGCAGUAAAUCCCUACAUCAGUUGAGCUGACACGGCUGCCCAGUGAUGUCCCUGCAUAGCCAGCUGCAGUCAGAGGAAUCAGUCACGGACCAAUCUGUGGUAUUACUGUGCACGUCAUUCAACCAAGCUAUGAGUGACUGUCAAAUAACCCCCAACAUUUCAGUAACUGCAGCAUGGAAGGUGCAAGCCAAGAACCAACAUGCUAGAUGGAAACAGUGAUUGUAACUAAACUAUAGACAGCUGGGCACGAUCGAGGUCUGCUGCCUGAAAACCCACAGUGGCAGCAUUACAGGCCUUCUCCUGCUGGAAAACAUUCUGACCACACUGACCAGGAGGAACAUUGGUGUCUGGAAGGGCAAAGGCUGGGGCACUGCUUCAGUUGUGUAAGCUCAGCUAAAUCAACCAGAAGUGUGGAAAGAAGUGCAUGGAAUGAAGCAAGAAGGCACUGAGAGAAAAACACAGUUCAUACUCUCUACUUUAUACAUGUGUGGGUGGUGGAUAAGUAGCAUUUCAGUCUAUGAAGCAAGUGGCAUUUGUGCUCUCGACAUUCCCCUCCCUGGCUAUUUAAUAAACCAGUGUACAGCUGGUCCCAAGCAUCAAAACUGCAUGGUUCAACAUAUGCUAUAGCUGCUACCCAGGCAC